rnacentral:tRNA from 1 species
GCGAGGAUAGCUCAGGUGGUAGAGUACGACCUUGCCAAGGUCGGGGUCGCGGGUUCGAAUCCCGUUUCUCGCU